UACGAAGGGGGCUAGCGUUGCUCGGAAUGACUGGGCGUAAAGGGCGCGUAGGCGGACUGCACAGUCAGGCGUGAAAUUCCUGGGCUUAACCUGGGGACUGCGUCUGAGACGUGUGAUCUAGAGUGAGGAAGAGGGUCGUGGAAUUUCCAGUGUAGAGGUGAAAUUCGUAGAUAUUGGAAAGAACACCGGUGGCGAAGGCGGCGACCGGGUCCUUGAAUGACUCUGAGGCGUGAAAGCGUGGGGAGCAAACAGG
rnacentral:rRNA from 1 species